rnacentral:hammerhead_ribozyme from 1 species
AAACUGCUGACGAGUCCCAAACAGGUUGAAACAGCUGUUCAGUGU